AUUGAACGCUGGCGGCAGGCCUAACACAUGCAAGUCGAGCGGAUGAAGGGAGCUUGCUCCUGGAUUCAGCGGCGGACGGGUGAGUAAUGCCUAGGAAUCUGCCUGGUAGUGGGGGAUAACGUCCGGAAACGGGCGCUAAUACCGCAUACGUCCUGAGGGGGAAAGUGGGGGAUCUUCGGACCUCACGCUAUCAGAUAAGCCUAGGUCGGAUUAGCUAGUUGGUGGGGUAAAGGCCUACCAAGGCGACGAUUCGUAACUGGUCUGAGAGGAUGAUCAGUCACACUGGAACUGAGACACGGUCCAGACUCCUACGGGAGGCAGCAGUGGGGAAUAUUGGACAAUGGGCGAAAGCCUGAUCCAGCCAUGCCGCGUGUGUGAAGAAGGUCUUCGGAUUGUAAAGCACUUUAAGUUGGGAGGAAGGGCAGUAAGUUAAUACCUUGCUGUUUUGACGUUACCAACAGAAUAAGCACCGGCUAACUUCGUG
rnacentral:rRNA from 1 species